rnacentral:rRNA from 1 species
GGAAUAUUGGACAAUGGGCGCAAGCCUGAUCCAGCAACGCCGCGUGGAGGACGAAGGUCUUCGGAUCGUAAACUCCUGUCAGACGGGACGAAGGUGCCUGGGCAAAUAGUCCCGGUGCUUGACCGUACUGUCAGAGGCAGCCCCGGCUACCUCCGUGCCAGCCGCCGCGGUAAUACGGAGGGGGCGAGCGUUAUUCGGAAUUAUUGGGCGUAAAGGGCGCGUAGGCGGCCCGGCAAGUCAAAGGUGAAAUCCCUCGGCUCAACUGAGGAACUGCCUUUGAAACUGCCCGGCUUGAGUCCGGGAGGGGGUAGCGGAAUUCCCAGUGUAGCGGUGAAAUGCGUAGAUAUUGGGAGGAACACCAGUGGCGAAGGCGGCUACCUGGACCGGAACUGACGCUGAUGCGCGAAAGCGUGGGUAGCAAAC